rnacentral:rRNA from 1 species
AGCGAACGUUAGCGGCGGGCCUAACACAUGCAAGUCGAACGGGCAGUAGCAAUACUGUCAGUGGCGCACGGGUGCGUAACGCGUAGAUAAUCUACCUUCCAGCGGGGGAUAACUGAGGGAAACCUUAGCUAAUACCCCAUAAGACCACGGGGGCCUUCGGGGUUCUGCGGGAAAAGGCGGCCUCUGCAUAUGCUGUCACUGGGAGAUGAGUCUGCGUCCCAUCAGCUAGUUGGUGAGGUAAUGGCUCACCAAGGCGAAGACGGGUAGCUGGUCUGAGAGGAUGAUCAGCCACACUGGCACUGGAACACGGGCCAGACUCCUACGGGAGGCAGCAGUGGGGAAUAUUGGGCAAUGGGCGCAAGCCUGACCCAGCCACGCCGCGUGAGUGAUGAAGGCCUUCGGGUUGUAAAGCUCUGUGGGAAGAGAAGAAAAACUGCUGGCUAAUAUCCAGCAGGUUGACGGUACCUUCUUAGCAAGCACCGGCUAACUCUGUG